UGACGAGCGGCGGACGGGUGAGUAAUGCAUAGGAAACUGCCCAGUAGUGGGGGAUAGCCCGGGGAAACCCGGAUUAAUACCGCGUACGCCCUUCGGGGGAAAGCAGGGGAUCUUCGGACCUUGCGCUAUUGGAUGUGCCUAUGUCGGAUUAGCUAGUUGGUGGGGUAAAGGCCUACCAAGGCGACGAUCCGUAGCUGGUCUGAGAGGAUGAUCAGCCACAUCGGGACUGAGACACGGCCCGAACUCCUACGGGAGGCAGCAGUGGGGAAUAUUGGACAAUGGGGGCAACCCUGAUCCAGCCAUGCCGCGUGUGUGAAGAAGGCUUUCGGGUUGUAAAGCACUUUCAGUGAGGAGGAAAAGUUGGUCGUUAAUACCGGCCAGCCUUG
rnacentral:rRNA from 1 species